GAUGAACGCUGGCGGCGUGCUUAACACAUGCAAGUCGAACGGUGAAAGAGAGCUUGCUCUCUGGAUCAGUGGCGAACGGGUGAGUAACACGUGAGCAAUCUGCCCCUGACUCUGGGAUAAGCGCUGGAAACGGCGUCUAAUACCGGAUACGAGCUGCGAAGGCAUCUUCAGCAGCUGGAAAGAACUUCGGUCAGGGAUGAGCUCGCGGCCUAUCAGCUAGUUGGUGGGGUAACGGCUCACCAAGGCGUCGACGGGUAGCCGGCCUGAGAGGGUGACCGGCCACACUGGGACUGAGACACGGCCCAGACUCCUACGGGAGGCAGCAGUGGGGAAUAUUGCACAAUGGGCGAAAGCCUGAUGCAGCAACGCCGCGUGAGGGACGACGGCCUUCGGGUUGUAAACCUCUUUUAGCAGGGAAGAAGCGAAAGUGACGGUACCUGCAGAAAAAGCACCGGCUAACUACGUG
rnacentral:rRNA from 1 species